AAUAAACACAGGGGGAGCCAUAAUUGGCUGAGAGUGAAUGUAAAUUCAGACCCUUUGAACCUGUUCGUUAGUACGAGCGUAGGGAUUGGUGUAAAAACUUAGUG
rnacentral:ncRNA from 2 species